rnacentral:rRNA from 1 species
CGCAUCUGUGCAUGCAGCAUAUCAAUAAGCGGAGGAAAAGAAACUAACAAGGAUUCCCCUAGUAACGGCGAGUGAAGCGGGAAGAGCUCAAAUUUGAAAUCUUAAAGGGUUUCCCUUUACGAAUUGUAGUUUAAAGAAGUGUUUUCUGUUGAGGUUUUGGUAAAAGUUCUUUGGAAUAGGACAUCAUAGAGGGUGAGAAUCCCGUAUUUGACCUUUACUUUCAACUUUGUGAUACACUUUCAAAGAGUCGGAUUGUUUGGGAAUGCAGUCCAAAAUGGGUGGUAAAUUUCAUCUAAAGCUAAAUAUUGGCGAGAGACCGAUAGCGAACAAGUACCGUGAGGGAAAGAUGAAGAGAACUUUGAAAAGAGAGUUAAACAGUACGUGAAAUUGUCAAAAGGGAAGCGUUUGACACCAGUGUUGUUUUUCUGAAAAUCAAUUAAAGAACUGUUUAUGCUAAGUUGUUUAGACUUUAUCAGCUAACUGUUUAGUUUUGAGCUUUUCUUUAAUGCACUUUUCAGUUAACAAGUCAACAUCAAUUUCUUUUGCUGUAAAAAAGCUUGAGGAAGGUGGCUUGAGAUUCGUCUUAAGUGUUUAUAGCCUCUUGCCUAUGCAGUCGGAGAGAUUGAGGUCUGCAGCGUAGAUCCUUCGGGGCUAAAUGCAUUUGUGCUAAGUUAUAGCAUUUUAUAGACAACUUGUUGACUAUGAUUUGUCUUGUAGCUUACUCGCUUAUGUUAUUUUACCUACGCUUAGGAUGUUGAACGCGCACAGAGUCUC